CAGUAGCCACGGGAAUACGUAGGUGGCAAGCGUUGUCCGGAAUUAUUGGGCGUAAAGGGCUCGCAGGCGGUUUCUUAAGUCUGAUGUGAAAGCCCCCGGCUCAACCGGGGAGGGUCAUUGGAAACUGGGAAACUUGAGUGCUGAAGAGGAGAGUGGAAUUCCACGUGUAGCGGAGAAAUGCGUAGAGAUGUGGAGGAACACCAGUGGCGAAGGCGACUCUCUGGUCUGUAACUGACGCUGAGGAGCGAAAGCGUGGGGAGCGAACAGGAUUAGAUACCCCGGUAGUCCCUGUCUCUUAUAC
rnacentral:rRNA from 1 species